rnacentral:misc_RNA from 1 species
AGCAGCCGCGGUAAUUCCAGCUCCAAUAGCGUAUAUUAAAGUUGUUGCAGUUAAAAAGCUCGUAGUUGAAUUUCGGGGUUAGUAGUUUGGUCGUGCCAAUGGUAUGUACUGGGCUCACUGAUUCCUCCUUCCUGAUGAACUGUAAUGCCAUUAAUUUGGUGUUGCAGGGAAACAGGACUGUUACUUUGAAAAAUUAGAGUGUUUAAAGCAAGCUAACGCUUGAAUACAUUAGCAUGGAAUAAUGAAAUAGGACGUUCGAACCUAUUUUGUUGGUUUCUAGGAUUGACGUAAUGAUUAAUAGGGAUAGUUGGGGGCAUUAGUAUUCAAUUGUCAGAGGUGAAAUUCUUGGAUUUAUUGAAGACUAACUACUGCGAAAGCAUUUGCCAAGGAUGUUUUCAUUAAUCAAGAACGAAAGUUAGGGGAUCGAAGACGAUCAGAUACCGUCGUAGUCUUAACCCAUAAACUAUGCCGACUAGGGAUCGGAUGGUGUUAAUUUUUAAUGACUCAUUCGGCGCCUUAC